rnacentral:lncRNA from 1 species
UGACAGUUUGAAGAUUAUCCUGUGUUGUUUUCUAUGCCUUUAACAGCAUGCUUAUGUAAAAAUCUUGUUUGUUGUUGUGUAUCAAACUCUAAUCUUGCACGUGCUUCAUCUUUUUUAAUUCUUCUAUUUUGGCGAGAAAAAUAAAGGGGGAUAAAAAUGAAAAUGGUUAGAAACUUUUCAACUUUGCGUGCGUUCAUUAGCAUACUUUCAUUCAGGGCAAUGUCAAGCAGACACCUGAAGAGUAAUACUUUUACAUGCUCAAAUAAACAAUAUAAAUAUGACAAAUUCAUACUUAAAAUAAGUUCUCG